UAUUAAUCUAUCCAAUCAUAUCACCCAUUGUAUUUAAAGACCCCUCCUGUUAUACCAUGUUAUCCAAUCACGGGGCCGAAAGGAUUUGUAGACAAGGAAGUGAAACUAGCUACACAUUUUAGCCAACUACUUUUGAUUCUCAUUGUCAAUGCAAGGUGUGCAGUGGCAGAUAAUAGAUUCGGAUCAAUGCAGACCUGAGCCCUAGGACCAUGCCCCAGGACUACCUGACAUGAUGACUCCUUGCUGUCCCCAGUCCACCUGGCCAUGCUGCUGUUCCAGUUUCAACUGACCUGAGCCCUAGGACCAUGCCCCAGGACUACCUGACAUGACUCCUUGCUGUCCCCAGUCCACCUGCUGCUCCAGUUUCAACUUCCACCUGACUGUGCUGCUGCUCCAGUUUCAACUGUUCUGCCUUAUUAUUAUUCGACCAUGCUGGUCAUUUAUGAACAUUUGAACAUCUUGGCCAUGUUCUGUUAUAAUCUCCACCCGGCACAGGCAGAAGAGGACUGGCCACCCCACAUAGCCUGGUUCCUCUCUAGGUUUCUUCCUAGGUUUUGGCCUUUCUAGGGACUUUUUCAUAGCCACCGUGCUUCUACACCUGCAUUGCUUGCUGUUUGGGGUUUUAGGCUAGGUUUCUGUACAGCACUUUGAGAUAUCAGCUGAUGUACGAAGGGCUAUAUAAAUAAAUUUGAUUUGAUGUGCA